ACCUGAGCUUGCAUUCUACCUCAAAAGCAGUUGGGGAAGCCAGAGCCAAGCCCCUCUCCACCUACGUCCUGAAUUUCCCUCAGUCUAAGGCUGGGGGUGAGGCCGAGGACCUCUAAAUCCGCAAACACACCAAAAUACCCACCCAUACGCAUACACACCCACACUCUGUUCCCCCUCUGAAACCUGGAAUCACUCCUGCCUGCCCCACCCAGCUCCACCCACCCUGGCUAGGCAGGUUCUGUAGAGACCUGCUCCGCUGUCUCUCUGGCACCCCCACCCCCAUCCCAGCUCCCAGAAGGUACCUGCCCCCCAACACAGCACACAAAAGCAGACACGUGUGCACAUUCAUGUCCCAUAGCACCCCAUUCCCUAGCCUUCCCCAGACCCAUUCCUAGUCCGUCUUGAAGAGAACACUGGGGGUGGAAAGGCUGCAGGAGAAAAGGUGAGUAAUGCCCCUGGCAUCUGUCCCAGGUGGGGGCCGGCGGGAAGACGGGACACUAAGCUGGUGGGAAGGCAACCAGGGCUUCUGGAUUCUCCAUUUAAUUUUUACCAACAGGCAGGCCCCACAAUUUCCACCACCAGGCUUUGAGCUGCUUCCUCCCUUGGCCUAGGCAGAGAACUGGCCCGUACCUGCCCACCAGAAAACAGGGGAAUUACUCAAGUGCAAGAUUAAAGGCAAUAAUGAGCAAUCAGACCGAACUGGAAUGACAGUAGGGGAAGGUGAAGAGACUUUGGGAAAAGGAAGAGCACUGAAGUCAGACCUGGCACAGCCUUUUACGAGCUAUGUAAUCUCAGGUGGGGUUCCCUGGGAAGUGGAUUCCUGAACUCUGAGAUCGUAUACAGGAGAGUGCCAGCAGGAGAGUUCUUGAGAACACCUGUGAGGUGUGAGGGAAGCUGCAAUAAGCCGAGAGAGAAACUGAAAAGCAAUGCAAUGGCAACAGAGGCUUCUGUCCAUCCCAUGGGGGCUCUCAAGCUGGGAUAACUUUGUAACCCCACAUCAACCAGUCAUUGCCCUAGGGAAAGAGCAACACCUCAGGCAAGGCGGCUUUCUUCCUCCAAAGGCAAUUCCUGGAGAGGGACUCAGCUGUGAGUCAACACUUCCACAGCUGGAGAAGUGAGUGGAGCACACCACAGAAUUCACUGUACGUAUCUCAUGGUCUUCAAAACCCAGCUCAGAGUUUACCGGCUGCCUUCCUCACCAACACCCUCUCUCAGGUAAUCACUCGCUUCCUUGCAGAUGCCUCUCACUGUUGGGAAACUGAUAUGUUUACAUGCCUGUCUCCCAUACUCCCUCCCAAGUAGGUGGUGGGGAGGGCCUGAUCCUGUAUUUCAGAAUCCAGAACAGUGCCCGGUAUACAUUGGCUAUUCCAUAAAGGCAUGCUGCACUGAAUAAAUUGAAAUCAACCAAUGAAAGAGGUAGCUACAAGCUUAUAAAAGAAGGAGGCUGGAGUUUAAUGCUAGAAAGGAUAAAAGGGACAUAGACAGUAGAGAUUCUCACUUGGGAACCACACUGGAGACCCUGCUUGGGAGGCCCAAGAGUCCCAGGUUAGAGCGAAUCAAGGCUCUGAGCUUGGGAUGUCCAAAGAGGGGCAGGAGCCAGAACAAAACCUGUAACCUAUAAAUAGCCAUAGGUUAUAGCUCAUGGAGCUGGGAGACAAAGGUAAAACUUCAAGGGGAGAACGGGCUUCUAGGAAAGAGGAAAUUCGACAGCUCCCUCUCCUUGCUCCAUACCUGCCAGCUGUCACUCAGACUCCUAUAUUAAAAAGAGCACACACACAAAAAAGUACACAGAUAUACACGUGUUCAAAAACCACAGAAUCAGGUAAGCACGCCCAGAUACAGAACACACACAUAACACAGACACACAAUACAUGAAACAGACACAGACCAGAAAAAAAUCAAUCUGAAAAUUAUAGGCCAUAAUAUAUGUAAAUGAACCACCUAUGAAUUCUAAACUCUGUUUACCCCUAGUCAGCCUUCAAGCCUCCUUCACCUUCCAGAAAUCUCUGACAAGUAGAGAAUUCCAGAUUGCAGAAUUGCAAUUCCUUCGUCCUUUGUCCCCAGUCAGGUCAUUUCUUCUCUUUUUCAGGCUCUCAGCAGCUCCUAGCUAGGGAUAGGGAAGAGGGAAAAUGUUUCUGCUAGUAGCCAGCAGGGGACAGUGUUCAACAAGCAAUAAUCAAAUCAGCCUUCAACUUGCUGAAGGGAGGGAAUGGAGGACGAGGGAACCAGAAAAGGGUCCUCAGACCAACACAUUGCUCUGAUCACACCCUCGAUCCAUGUCUCCCUCUUUUUUUUCUGCUUCUUCAGCCCCCUUCUUCUCCUCAGCUGCAGUUUCUCCAUCCUUAGUUUAGUAGAUCUCAUGGAUUGUCUAUUUGCUCAGAGAAGACUAAGCUCAGGAAUUUCCCCCUCAGGGAGAGACAUUCCCCUUAGCCUCUUGUCCCUUUCCAUUCUGUCUUGGUUCCCAAGGUGGUCAGGACUUCGGAGUUUUCAUCUGGACUCCUGACCAAUGCUCAGGAACCCACAUGAGGGGCUCAGUUCCAGGGCCACCUCUCAGGGGAUGCUUGCAUCCUGGUGCACAGCUGGUCUAGUAGAAGUGGGGUUGGGUGUCAGGCCCCUGCACUGCCCUUAGCCUGGUGCUUUGUAAAGUGCACAAACUGUAUGACAGUACAGUUGACCCUGCUACUUACUGCCCCUGAGAUAGCAUCUGAUGAGCGUUUCCGGUGUUGAACACUUUCACGAUGAUCUCAUUUAAUCCUCAUCACACCCCGGUGGGUCUUGUUGUCUUUCCUGCUUUCCAUAUGAAAAAGCUGUUGCUCAGGGAGGGCAUGCGGUUUGCUCACUGUGGCACAAAGGGGAAAGGUGGAGACAGAGCAGGGACACGGGACCUCUGGCUGCCGGGUGUGGGCUUUCUCCCCUCUAGCACAGUGUUGCUGCACUGCCACCACUGCCUCCCUUCUUCCACUCCCUCUCAGCCUUUCAGGCUCAUCUCUGCUUGCUCCCUUCUCCUCCCUGCGCUGACAUCCCAGCACUGUGAGCCUCUUUCUUCUGCCCAUAAUCCUCAUCCAAUGAGAGGUCAAAAGCUCAGGAAAGAACACAAGAAGAAAGCAGAAAGAUAAAGGAACUGGGUGGUAGAAAGGGCUUUCCAGAAAGAGGAAGAAGCAAAGGCAAAGAAGACAGGGCCUGCACUGGGGGUGGAGAGGGAAGGGAGGUGGGUGGAAUGAGGAAGCGGAGCACCCUCCACACUGUGCCCAGACUUGGGAAAGGGCACAGACAGGGCCUCCAUUGUGUGGGCACAAAGAGGCCAUAUGCCUGGCAGCCUAUGACAGUGUGUGUGUGUGCGCGUGUGUGUG
rnacentral:lncRNA from 1 species